rnacentral:rRNA from 1 species
UACGAAGGGGGCUAGCGUUGCUCGGAAUCACUGGGCGUAAAGCGCACGUAGGCGGAUUGUUAAGUCAGGGGUGAAAUCCUGGAGCUCAACUCCAGAACUGCCUUUGAUACUGGCGAUCUUGAGUCCGGGAGAGGUGAGUGGAACUCCGAGUGUAGAGGUGAAAUUCGUAGAUAUUCGGAAGAACACCAGUGGCGAAGGCGGCUCACUGGCCCGGUACUGACGCUGAUGCGCGAAAGCUAGGGGAGCAAACAGG